GCGUUUGUGUGCGGAGAAGACGGGAUGGGGUGACGAGGGAUGUUAGGUGGGGAGGAAAAGACCAGCUGACCUCAGACUGACCAAUGGGGAGCUUCUGUGUCUGGUAUUCGUUCGCCCCGAGAGGAAGAGAUGGGGGGGGGAUAGAACACCCCCCCCACCUCCACCCCUACUCCUUUCCUAUUUCCCUUCUUCAAUCUCCCGCUCCCUUUCUCUCUUUCUAAUUCUCAUUCAAUCUCUCUUUCUAAUCUUCCUCCGGUUCCCGGUGAGAUUGCGCAAUCACAUCGGAAUCCUCCGCGCGUUAAAUUGAUUCUUUCUCUCCCCGUGUGUCUUCCUCCGUCUGUUGUUAGACCCAUAAAAAAGCCAGCAGCUCUCACACAUACACGCACGCGCGCCCUCCCUGAGAGACAUAGAGAAAGAGAGGGCGGUGGUGGUGGUGGUGGUGGGGGGCGGGUUUGCUUCUGCACCACCAGAGGCAACCGAAUAAUAAAACAUAUUCCCGGUGCUUUGCAGAUAAUACCGACCGCGUUAAAAUGAAUUUGGCGAGCAUAAAUCAGUACCGGAAACGCGCACGACUCAUGUGUGAUCCCGUGUGUGUGUGUGUGUGUGCAGCCGGGAUGUGAGUUAGCCUACAAUAUAAUGUGGGCUAUACAGGUCUAUAAUUGAGGUGUUUGUGCAUUUGUAAUUGGUAUAUUUGGGUUUGCGGGUAGAUUUAUGUCCCCAGUCAAUGUGUGUGUCCUGUUCUGAGGCUUCCACUGACUUCUUCUUCAUCGUGCUUCUUUUCUCCACUGGAUGAGUCAUUGAUAAUCUGGAGGGGAUUUUCCUGGGCAUAAUCCGAUAGCUGUUAAUGUUUUAUUGAUUUAAAAUAACCCGGGUGACGCUGCUCUGUCUCGUGUCCUGCUCCGUGAAUGGUAUACUGUUUUAGGUCCAGGCUGGGCUGUCCUGUGGAAAAUCCAACUCAAGUGUUCCAGGAGUUUUCUGCAGGAGCCGGUUCUUUUUGAUCACCGUGUGCAGUGAAUUAUUUAGUCUGUCCUCUGACACUGAUUAGGCUGAAAUGUAUAGAGAGAAGAAGAAAAGAAACAAUCUUGAAGUUUCCCUCUUUUUUUUUUGCCGUCUUCUUGACACUGAUUAUAGCCUCGCGCCUGAAACCUUUCCCAUCAUGGUCAUAUAUUCAGUGAAAUAUAGUCAAACAGCUUACAGUUAGCCUAAAUGAUACACGCUGCAGUCUUACGGAGAAAAAAAAAACGUACUUUUCCAUAUAUCACACGUUGUAGCGCAUCCGACAAUUCAGGAAAAAGAUUAUUCUGAAUCAUUAUUGAUAAUAUUAAUGCUAAUGAUAACAACAACUUGCAACUAAAUAACAAAACUUAAAAAUUAAAUAAAACGGUACAAGUCAAACUAAAUAUAAAAAAGUUUAAAUUAAUGAAAAUCUGGAAAAAAUCUCAAGCAUCUGAUUAAUUUUUGUUUUUAUAAAUAACUGAUCAUUGAAAGACAAAUAUUGAGUUGAUUAAAAAAAUAAUAAUCGUCAAUAUUUCACGUUUUAAUUUUAAUUUAACUACACGAAUACUAUAAUAAAAUAAUUUCAAUAAUAAUAUAUGGAGAACUGCAUUUUAUGGCUAAAUUCUUAUCAUAAACGUGUUAUUAGAUUAUUGUAAUGUAACUGUGGCUGCUACUCGCACAACAGACACAAGAAUUUUCUCAAAUAAGUAAUGAAUAAAACCAAACCGUGUAGUAACAGUGGAGCUAGCUACACACACACACACACACACACACACACACACACACACACACACACACACACACACUAUUACUACUAAUACUACUAUCCCACUACUAAUUUUGUACUUUAGACUUUCAGACAUUUUAAAGCAAGCUCACCACUGACCCUCUCUCCUCUUUCUCUCCCCCCUCUUCUGACCCGGCCUGCUUUUCAUUCGCACUUACAAACGGAGUAUGUGUCGCUGAGGUCGUAAAAUAAUCGCGGCCAUAAAUAAGUCUCCCUCUUUGUGUCUUUCUCUGUGUUUCCCCUACAGGCUCUGACUUGUCUGCAUGGCCAAACUGCAGACAGUCCGACUGACAAAUAGAGACAAAGACUCUAUUUUUACUUUUACUUCACUCUCCAUUGCUCCGUGUCUUCUCUCUUGUUUUCAAAGUAACAGAGCAGAGAGACGCAUAAGUUUAAUCCCUUUCUGUGCAGGAUCACACAGACAGAUGGGGAAUCUCUUUUUAACUUUCAUUUUGACCUCUCCCUCUCCCUCUCUUUCUCUCCCUAUCGCUCUCCCCCUCUCUCUUUCUAUCUCCCUCUCUCCCUCUCCCUCUCCUCUCUCUCCCUCUUUGGCAGGACGCUCCGUUUCCUCUCCGCUUUGUGGGAACGGGAAGCAGCAGCAUUGUGUUGGACCUGACUGUGGUUUAAUCAUUAAUGAGAACUAACAGUCGGGGCAGGACAGACAUGGCCUACAGCCUGGGACACACACAGGACGGUGUUGCAUUUUGGGAGAACUGAAGGCAAAUCUCACCAAAUGGCAGAAAAAAAAGGAAGACUCGGGACCGGAAACGGAGACUGGAAAGUGUGAGACAAAGCGCGUCUGGUUGGAAGAAACAGAUUAUUAUGUUAGAGAGAGUGAAGACGAGAAACACAACCUAAAGAAACAGACGAACAGAAGAACACGGCUUAAAGGGAAACGGUCUCUCUAUUUACGGGUUCCAUAGGUUACUGUGGUUUAACCAGGCUUGAACCUUACUGCUUGCCGUAGCUAAAUAUUGAGAGAAACAGGCAUCAGUUGCUGUGCAGCUGGCCCCGACUGAAACUUUAAAGGCGAUUUCUUUUAUCCUUUAUGUUCAGGUUAUUCAAACCAACACAGGCCCACAUAUAGUCUAUGACCAAUGCAAUCAACAGGCUGCUUUAAAGAACUCAGAUACUUUUUAUUGACAUUAGGUUACAUUUUUGCAAACUAUGAGAAUAAAAUGAGAACAAUAACUAUGUAAAUAUAAUAAUAAUAUGAGAAUAAAAAACUACAACUAAACAUCAACAACUUCACUUUUACUACUAGUAGUAAUAAAUUAAAGUUCAGACGGCUGAAAGCUAAAACCAAAACAGGAUAAUAUGUCUCUCAUUAGAGACACCACCAGUGAGACAAUAGAAAUAAUAAUAACCUCCAUCAUGUGUAAGAUAUUCUAUAAGAUUUUCAACGGCAACAGAAUGAUCGUUACGGGGAGGUUUUUCAUAACGGACAGGCCUGUGCGUUUUAAGCCUGCACUGUCGUGUGCAGUAAAUCAGACUGGUGUAGCUGUGAUUGAGCCGCAGUGUAAACAGUUGAGAGCUGCUAAAGGAACUCCAGGAAUCUGAGAAACUUCAGAGAUUAUCGACAAUUAAAGCUGAAGGAGUGAGACUGCC